rnacentral:rRNA from 1 species
CCUACGGGUGGCAGCAGUGAGGAAUAUUGGUCAAUGGCCGGAAGGCUGAACCAGCCAUGCCGCGUGAAGGUCAGUGCCCUAUGGGCGUUAAACUUCUUUUGUGCGGGAGCAAUAAUGGUCACGUGUGGCCAGACGAGAGUACCGUACGAAUAAGCAUCGGCUAACUCCGUGCCAGCAGCCGCGGCAAUACGGGGGAUGCAAGCGUUAUCCGGAUUUAUUGGGUUUAAAGGGUGCGUAAGCUGUGAGGUAAGUCAGCGGUGAAAUGCCCCCGGUGAACGGGGUGAAGUGCCAUUGAUACUGCCUUGCUUGAGUGCGGAUGAGGUGGGAGGAAUGUGUGGUGUAGCGGUGAAAUGCAUAGAUAUCACACAGAACACCGAUUGCGAAGGCAUCUCACGAAUCCGCGAUUGACGCUGAUGCACGAAAGCGUGGGUAUCAAACAGGAUUAGAUACCCUGGUAGUC